GAGUUUCUGACCUAUUAACUUUCGAUGGUAAUUUAGUGGAUUACCAUGGUUUUCAUGGGUAACGGAGAAUUUGGGUUUGAUUCCGGAGAAAAGGCCUGAGAGACGGCCAUUACUUCCAAGGAAGGCAGCAGGCGCGUAAAUUACCCAAUCCCAAUUCGGGGAGGUAGUGACGAGAAAUACUAGUAUUGGUCCCAACGGGAACAAUGAUUGGAAUGAGAACAAUUUAAAAACAUUAACGACUAACAAUUGGAGGGCAAGUCUGGUGCCAGCAGCCGCGGUAACUCCAGCUCCAAGAGUGUAUAUUAAAGUUGUUGCGGUUAAAAAGCUCGUAGUUGGACUUGAGGGAUUUAUAUAAAGAGAUUCUAGUUUUAAAGCUAGUUAUUUCUGUAUAUUUUUUCCUUUCUUUUUAUUUUUUUUUAAAGAUCUGGGACGAUGGGGUUAAAUCCGGAAGCCCUUUUCUUGUAAAAAUAGAUAGUUUACUUUGAAAAAAUUAGAGUGUUUAAAGCAGGCAUGACAUGUACAAUUGAAUAUUACAGCAUGGGAUAAUAGAAUAGGACAUUAACCUUAAUUUUGUUGGUUUUGAAGGUUAAUAGUAAUGAUUAAAAGGGAUAGUUGGGGUCACUUGUAUUUGAUCGCUAGGGGUGAAAUCCUAUGAUUGAUCAAAGACAAACUACUGCGAAAGCAUUUGACAAGGAUGUUUUCAUUGAUCAAGAACGAAAGUUAGGGGAUCGAAGAUGAUUAGAUACCGUCGUAGUCUUAACCAUAAACAAUGUCGACUUUGGAUUAGGAAAUAUUACAUGGAUGAUUUUCCUAGCACAAUAUGAGAAAUCAUAAGUAUUCAGACUCCGGGGGGAGUAUGGUCGCAAGAGUGAAACUUAAAGGAAUUGACGGAAGGGCACCACCAGGAGUGGAACCUGCGGCUUAAUUUGACCCAACACGGGGAAACUUACCGGGUCCGGACACUUUGAGGAUUGACAGAUUGAUAGCUCUUUCUUGAUUAAGUGGGUGGUGGUGCAUGGCCGUUUUUAGUUGGUGGAUUGAUUUGUCUGGUUAAUUCCGAAAACGAACGAGACCUUAACCUAUUAAAUAGUAUAAUUAAAAUUGAAUACAAAUUCUUGAAAUUUGAAAAAAAAAAGAAAUGGAUACUUCUUAAAGGGACUCUUCAUAUUUUAGUGAAUGGAAGUUUAAGGCAAAAACAGGUCUGUGAUGCCCUUAGAUGUUCCGGGCUGCACGCGCGUUACACUGAUGCGAUCAAAGAGUUUAAUUUAAAUUUCCUUAUUUGAAAAGAUUGGGUAAACUUUAAAAUCGUAUCGUGAUUGGGAUAGUGCUUUGUAAUUAUCGCACUUGAACGAGGAAUUCCUAGUAGGUGCAAGUCAUCAUCUUGCUCCGAUUACGUCCCCGCCCUUUGUACACACCGCCCGUCGCUCCUACCGAUUGAAUAAUCCGAUGAGGA
rnacentral:rRNA from 1 species